CCUACGGGAGGCAGCAGUGAGGAAUAUUGGUCAAUGGGCGGAAGCCUGAACCAGCCAAGUCGCGUGAGGGAUUAAGGCCCUGCGGGUCGUAAACCUCUUUUGCCGGGGAGCAGAGGUCCGGACGUGUCCGGGCCGGGAGAGUACCCGGAGAAAAAGCAUCGGCUAACUCCGUGCCAGCAGCCGCGGUAAUACGGAGGAUGCGAGCGUUAUCCGGAUUUAUUGGGUUUAAAGGGUGCGUGGGCGGGCAUUUAAGCCGGCGGUCAAAUGUCGGGGCUCAACCCCGGCCUGCCGUCGGAACUGGGUGCCUUGAGUGGGCGAGAAGUAGGCGGAAUGCGUGGUGUAGCGGUGAAAUGCAUAGAUAUCACGCAGAACCCCGAUUGCGAAGGCAGCAUACCGGCGCCCGACUGACGCUGAGGCACGAAAGUGCGGGUAUCGAACAGGAUUAGAUACCCCAGUAGUC
rnacentral:rRNA from 1 species